CCCUUAGAUGUUCUGGGCCGCACGCGCGCUACACUGAUGCAUUCAACGAGUCUAAAACCUGCUCUGAUAGGGGUGGGUAAUCAUUUGAAUGUGCAUCGUGAUUGGGAUAGAUGAUUGCAAUUUUUCAUCUUCAACGAGGAAUGCCUAGUAAACGCAAGUCAUCAGCUUGCAUUGAUUACGUCCCUGCCCUUUGUACACACCGCCCGUCGCUCCUACCGAUUGAAUGAUCCGAUGAAUAUCAUGGAUUGAGGAUGCAAGCAGGUUCGCCUGUCUUCAUCUUCGAGAAGUGAAGUAAAUCUUAUCAUUUAGAGGAAGGAGAAGUCGUAACA
rnacentral:rRNA from 1 species